AGCGAACGCUGGCGGCAGGCUUAACACAUGCAAGUCGAGCGGGCGUAGCAAUACGUCAGCGGCAGACGGGUGAGUAACGCGUGGGAACGUACCUUUUGGUUCGGAACAACCCAGGGAAACUUGGGCUAAUACCGGAUAAGCCCUUACGGGGAAAGAUUUAUCGCCGAAAGAUCGGCCCGCGUCUGAUUAGCUAGUUGGUGAGGUAACGGCUCACCAAGGCGACGAUCAGUAGCUGGUCUGAGAGGAUGAUCAGCCACAUUGGGACUGAGACACGGCCCAAAACUCCUACGGGAGGCAGCAGUGGGGAAUAUUGGACAAUGGGCGCAAGCCUGAUCCAGCCAUGCCGCGUGAGUGAAGAAGGCCUU
rnacentral:rRNA from 1 species